rnacentral:lncRNA from 1 species
CCAGGGAAUACUGAUAGCCUUUUUCCAAUAAAGCGAAAUCUAUUUGCAAUAAUAGGUAUAUGCAAAGACCUCCUGAAAUUACAGGAGCAAACUCCUUCCGCAUCUCGACCUAAUUAAGAUCCGUUACUCAACAGUGAUCAGUCAGAUUUUACUGUAAGAAGGAAGAAAACAAGGAUCCUGCUAGAACAACAUGGAAACAGGGAGGCCACCUCCUGUCAAAGCUGGGACAUCUGAGAGACAGUGGUCACACAACAACUCAACUGCAUGUGCACCUAAAACAGUAGCUUAUUUUCUCUGACUGUUUCUUCUUCUUCUUCUUCUACUCCUUAUUCUUAUUCUUCUUUCUGAUUUACCAACCUACUGGGUAUCAGUGCAAAAAAUUAUUUUACUUGCGAAUUAAUGAUAUCACCACGUUUUCUUGCUUAAACUGUCUUUUUAGGUUAGCUCAGCUACUCUGGGCUAAACAUUCAGUCUUUCAGAUAUACUCCACUUACCUUAGCUCCUCCCAUGGUGGUUCCGGGGUUGGAGAGGCUUACGUGACCUUAUGGUAGCAGGGCAGAGGCAGGGCUAUGCUGCUCAUGGGGCAUUCUGUAAAAGUAAGAUGUGUCUUCCUUAUGAUACCUUCCUUCCAGUUGUUGGAAAGUUGUCGUGCUGCUUUUAUUAGAGCAAGCAUCUUGUUGCCAUAUGCUUUAAAAUGGACAUAAUAAAUGUGCAAAUCUUCAAUGUCUGUUAAAUGAAUGGUGCCCUCUUAGACAUGGAUUUCUUGUGCAACACUCAACCUGCACAACUGUAUGCCAGUCUCUAUUUUUGUACCACAGUAAAGUGCAUGCAUAAGGCUGAAUAUGGGGUUUUCCCCAGAGGCUUGCAGCUAUCUUCAGGAAAAGCAGACUAUUGGCAUUGACCAUCCUGGCAACUCUGGAAAUUCUAUUGAUCUCAGGCCAUGAGGAUCAACAUUUGUCUCCGACAUCCUCAUUUUAACUCUUCUUUGCCUCCUCCCCUUAGACCACUGCGGUCAGGAGCCCAGGCUUUUUCAUUUCCCUGAAUAAUAGAAGCUUCGUUUACAUCAUGAUUGGUUCUCACUACCCCCUGGCAUAGAGAAAACUCCAAUUUUAAGUCAGCCAGGCCUACUUCUUGAUAUGAGAUGGGAGCCUAAGAGGUUUAAAAAGUUCUUUUAUUUCCCCAUAGUGUCUGGCUUUUGAGACUCCACUCACUAGUGACUCACAAACAAUGCUGACUUGCUUUUUCUAGCUAAAGUUUACCCUUUUCCUGAAGCAUAAAACACACUGUUUCUGUGUGUAGGCCCCACAGGGCAGCAGUGUUUUCUGGAUUUGAAAAAUUUAACAGAAAAGCUCUCAAAAAAUUGUAUUAUUUUAUCUGUCUUUUGUGGCAGUUUAUUGAAAGCUAUAAGAGGAAGCCAAAAACCACCAACAUUUUGAAUUUUUCCUUCCAAAGUCUUGAUUCCAGACCCUUGGUGGACAUUAUCUGAGUCUCGGGAUAUAGCAGGAAAUAGUUUAACCAGAGAUUUUGCUACCACUUAACAUGGGUUACUAACAUCACAAGCUAGCUCUAUCUUGGCAUUGCCUUCUCCACUGCAGCUCUUCAGCUCUGCCUAUUCAACAGUCUGGAGUCUGUAACAUCACCCUCACUUCCAUGUUCCAAAUUCCAUUAGGAUCCUUCAGGAUUCAAGGAACAAAAAUACCAGAUUCACAUUAAAAUAAUAAGGAAGUGUAUUUGGUUCAUGUACCUGCAAUAUUCAAGACUCUCUGUAUCUUUAGGACACAGCUCCAGUGUUGUGUGAUUCCCUGAGCUCUCCUUUUUCCCAUGCAUUGGCUAUUUCAUGUUAACAAAAUGGCCACAAGGAUUCCAGGCAUCUCAUUCACAUACCACCACAUCCAGAUUAAAAGAAAGAGUCUUUGUCCCAGAAUCUAAGCAAGUUCGGUCACAUGCCCACCACUGAACCAAUCACUGUGGCUUUGAUUGACUUAUUUAGGUACUACGUGCUCCAUUGCUAAAGCCAAGAACCAUGUAGGUCUGGAUGUCAGGCAUUCCUAAAAAGAGGCAGCUCUGAAGUGUCAGCUGAAACAUUAUGAGAUGUUACAUUUAGAAUGGAGAGUUGAUUUCUCAUAAAGGGUUACAGCCUG